AGAGUUUGAUCCUGGCUCAGGAUGAACGCUGGCGGCGUGCUUAACACAUGCAAGUCGAACGAUCCUUCGGGAUAGUGGCGGACGGGUGAGUAACGCGUGGGAAUCUGCCCUCAGGAGGGGGAUAACGGCUGGAAACGGCCGCUAAUACCCCAUAUGCCGAGAGGUGAAAUGAAUUUCGCCUGAGGAUGAGCCCGCGUCUGAUUAGCUAGUUGGUGGGGUAAAGGCCUACCAAGGCAACGAUCAGUAGCUGGUCUGAGAGGAUGAUCAGCCAAACUGGGACUGAGACACGGCCCAGACUCCUACGGGAGGCAGCAGUGGGAAAUUUUCCGCAAUGGGCGAAAGCCUGACGGAGCAACGCCGCGUGAGGGAUGAAGGCCUCUGGGCUGUAAACCUCUUUUCUCAAGGAAGAAGACCUGACGGUACUUGAGGAAUAAGCCACGGCUAAUUCCGUGCCAGCAGCCGCGGUAAUACGGGAGUGGCAAGCGUUAUCCGGAAUUAUUGGGCGUAAAGCGUCCGCAGGCGGCCUUGUAAGUCUGUUGUUAAAGCGUGGAGCUCAACUCCAUUUAAGCAAUGGAAACUACAAGGCUGGAGUGUGGUAGGGGCAGAGGGAAUUCCCGGUGUAGCGGUGAAAUGCGUAGAUAUCGGGAAGAACACCAGAGGCGAAGGCGCUCUGCUAGGCCAUAACUGACGCUCAUGGACGAAAGCCAGGGGAGCGAAAGGGAUUAGAUACCCCUGUAGUCCUGGCCGUAAACGAUGAACACUAGGUGUCGGGGGAAUCGACCCCCUCGGUGUCGUAGCCAACGCGUUAAGUGUUCCGCCUGGGGAGUACGUACGCAAGUGUGAAACUCAAAGGAAUUGACGGGGGCCCGCACAAGCGGUGGAGUAUGUGGUUUAAUUCGAUGCAACGCGAAGAACCUUACCAGGGUUUGACAUCCUGCGAACCCCUGAGAAAUCGGGGGGUGCCUUCGGGAGCGCAGAGACAGGUGGUGCAUGGCUGUCGUCAGCUCGUGUCGUGAGAUGUUGGGUUAAGUCCCGCAACGAGCGCAACCCACGUCUUUAGUUGCCAGCAUUCAGUUGGGCACUCUAGAGAGACCGCCGGUGAUAAACCGGAGGAAGGUGUGGAUGACGUCAAGUCAUCAUGCCCCUUACAUCCUGGGCUACACACGUACUACAAUGCUACGGACAAAGGGCAGCAAGCUCGCGAGAGUUAGCAAAUCCCAUAAACCGUGGCUCAGUUCAGAUCGUAGGCUGCAACUCGCCUACGUGAAGGAGGAAUCGCUAGUAAUCGCAGGUCAGCAUACUGCGGUGAAUACGUUCCCGGGCCUUGUACACAC
rnacentral:rRNA from 1 species